rnacentral:lncRNA from 1 species
UUCAAUUAAAUUUAUAGAAGGAUUUAGAAUCAAGCAAGAGAUAAACAAGGAUUUAGAAUAUGAUGAUGGAAAAUGUAGAGGUAAAAGGUCAAGAACUAGAUGAUUGAGUGACCUAGUAAUGGUGGUUGAUUCCCCUUUCCUUACCCCUUUGGCUUUUCCUCACUUAAAGUCUACCUUUGAAGAAUUUGGAUACUUUUCAGCUUCAUGGAUUGAUAGAAUUCACUCUUUGAAUUGUUUUGAGAUGGAGAUAGUUUUAGUAGGUUUAGAUCUUCACCUCCUCUAAAGUUUAAGAAGUUGAAAGAUGCAAAGGAGAAGCUGCUGAGAAGAU